rnacentral:rRNA from 1 species
ACUAACAAGGAUUCCCCUAGUAACUGCGAGUGAAGCGGGAAAAGCUCAAAUUUAAAAUCUGGCGGUCUCUGGCCGUCCGAGUUGUAAUCUAGAGAAGUAAUGCCCGUGCUGGACCGUGUAUAAGUCUCCUGGGAUGGGGCGUCAUAGAGGGUGAGAAUCCCGUCUUUGACACGGACUACCAGUGCAUUGUGGUAUGCUCUCAAAGAGUCGAGUUGUUUGGGAAUGCAGCUCAAAAUGGGUGGUAAAUUCCAUCUAAAGCUAAAUAUUGGCGAGAGACCGAUAGCGAACAAGUACCGUGAGGGAAAGAUGAAAAGAACUUUGGAAAGAGAGUUAAACAGUACGUGAAAUUGCUGAAAGGGAAACGCUUGAAGUCAGUCGCGUUGGCCAGGGAUCAGCCUUGCUUUUGCUUGGUGUACUUUCUGGUUGACGGGUCAGCAUCAAUUUUGACCGCUGGAAAAAGGCUUGGGGAAUGUGGCAGCUUCGGCUGUGUUAUAGCCCCUGGUCACAUACGGCGGUUGGGAUUGAGGAACUCAGCACGCCGCAAGGCCGGGUUUCGACCACGUUCGUGCUUAGGAUGCUGGCAUAAUGGCUUUAAGCGACCCGUCUUGAAACACGGACCAAGGAGUCUAACAUGCCUGCGAGUAUUUGGGUGAAAAACCCGAGUGCGCAAUGAAAGUGAAAGUUGAGAUCCCUGUCGUGGGGAGCAUCGACGCCCGGACCAGAACUUUUGGGACGGAUCCGCGGUGGAGCAUGUAUGUUGGGACCCGAAAGAUGGUGAACUAUGCCUGAAUAGGGUGAAGCCAGAGGAAACUCUGGUGGAGGCUCGUAGCGAUUCUGACGUGCAAAUCGAUCGUCAAAUUUGGGUAUAGG